rnacentral:lncRNA from 1 species
AUCUGACAAAUGUUUUAAAUACUACACUCAUGAUCUUAUUAUCCAUCAAAUUUGUCUUGCUCACUAUGCUUAAGGUUAGAGAAGAGCAAAUACACUUUUGGUUCUGUUGGUGUUUUCCACCAACAGGACCCAUGCACUUGAUCUCUGCCUUGUCUCUAUGAGCAGGUACACUUCGAGCAAAACAUGGUGGAGUUUUUCAACUCCCAGACUCUACCAAGUGAAGGACCUGGAUCUACGAGCACAAACACACUGAGCAGGAUGCUGCCAACACCACACUUCGAACUGCUGGGCAAACGAAGAACAUGGGUGACACCGUAUUAAGAGGUGCAGACGUCAAGGUCCACACCUGAAUCAAAUGACGCACCUGAAGAAUGAACACGGUGAGAAGUCUUGUUCAGAAGACUUAAAACAUUGAACCCUCGCCAAAAGGUAAAAUCGGUAGUUAUCCAUAUUUAUCCUUUCUGCAUUCCCUUUUCCCUUUAAUUAUUUACUUUCCUUAAAUGGCUUGUUAGUUAAUCAUGCUAUCUUGAAAAGAAAAUAAAAAUGUUAGUAAGCCCCAUAUGAGUAUGCUCGUGGCAUAAAACCCAUAAGUACAUUCACUGUGGUGGCGUAAAAAUAAAUAUAUUCCUGUCCUAUAGAAAUGAAAGUAUAAAAAUAAAUUUAUGAUCCUACCAAAGAGAGUAAUAUUUAUUAGAGGAAGCUCAACAUGAUAAAGGCUAAGAGAUUCUAUGCUAACACUUAACUAGUUCCACAAAGCUUUGUUGUCUAUUUGAGCUCCACAGAAUUCAAGGAUCAAAGAAGACUAGCAGACGGAGGACAUCCUAAUCGCUGUGAGGGUGCUGCCGACAUUCAAAUACACCUCCGCCACCUGCUAGCUACAUCAGAAGAAAUUACGUCAAAAUCCAGCUUGGGGGAGAGCACCCUCAUUUAUCCAGCUAAGUGUUUCUACUCGCGUUUAUACUUUACUCAAAUAAUAAAAAGAUGCAUAAUCAUAAAAACCCAAAUAAAGAUUUUAUGCUGAUAUAUAUAUAUAUAUAUAUUUUCUUAGUUUGCUAAAUAAAUAAAUAAAGUUUGCUAUGAACCCUCAUGAUAAGCUCUCACAUGGAAAUGAUGAAUAGUUGCUCUGCCAUGACUAGUUCACAAAAUUAAAUUCUCUCUCAAGUUUAGCCAUGACUGUUAUGAAUUAAGAUUUGCUCUAAACCUGAACUUGUGGGAAGAGUACUUGAUCUAAAGUCUAAGUCGUUAACGGAUAUGAUAUGGGAAGGUUGAGCUACUGUUUAUCUGUUCCUAGAGAUGCUAGAAUUCUAGAGAAUUUUAUCUUUGAAAAUCUUUAAAAUGUUGCAUGAUGAGUUCCUGUAUGAUGAGAGUUUAAAAUCCUACCACAGCCACAUAUACAUGCUUAUGAGACUAUGAAACAUACAUUUACUUUUUACUGCUUAUGAGCAUUGAGUGUGGUCAAGCUAUGUAGACCCUUAGGAGCUUGUCAUGCGGUUAUAAUCAAGAUUCACUUGCACGUCCACUCAUACAUGUUGCUUCUACUCCGGAAGUAUGUAUCCACAUACAUCCACUCAUUUCCAUCUCCAGAUUUACCCAAAAUUAUUCUACUCCUAUCCGGGAGAGAAUAGCCAAAAACAUUAUCCCAUUCCUGUUUUUCCCGGUGAAAUAAAUGCUCGAGCUAUUUUGGUUACUACCACUUGCUACAUUAUUCCAGGAGGGUGAGUGCUCUGAAAAAAAAGAAGAAAAAUACGAGGAAAUAAAAAGGGGCAAGUGCCCGGAACCUCGAAAGAAAAAAGAAAAAGUGAGACGAGAGGUAAAAAUGGACAAGUGUCCGACAGUAGAAUUAUGGGUACAAGAUACCCACCUGAGAGAAAAGAAAAAGAAAAUAUAGAGCAUCUCAUUCCUCUCAAAAACCUUCAAAGUGCAAGAAAGGUAUGUAUCCCCUCAAAAGAGCAAAAGUAGAAUUAGACUUUCACCAUUAUUUUCACCAUUAUCACCAUCAUCACCAUACACCAUUCAUCCGCCACACAUGCACAUCUUGGUUUGACUUAUUGACUUGUUUCUCUAGAUCCAUGGUUUGACUAUUGUUGGGUAUUUUAAACGCAAACAGAAAAAUCCGCAAGCGCACAGAUACCGAUGUAGCUUUCACCUAGGAGUAUUCCAGAGUAUCGAUUUUCCACAGAGAACGUGAGUGUACUAAUUAAGAUCCAAGAUCGCCCAAGGAUAACUAUACAAUUAUUUUUGGUGGGAAGAGAGGAAGUUUACUGAGAGUUCUCUAGUUGAUCUAAGAAUCAAGAAUUACUUCAAGAUUAUCUAUAUCGGGACAUCAGAGCACUAACCACGGAAAGAGAUGAGAAGGGGGCUAGGAAGGUCUGACUACGGUCCUACAAACACCGAUCCGAACGUGGUGGAAUACGUCGACCGUUAGGGCUGUCACUACCCUAAGGCUACCACAACAAUCCGCAGGAUUGGGUGCAAUUCCAGGUAAUUGCAAGACUAAACACCACGUCUAAUCUAUUAAUUACUACUCUAGCGUUAUAAAGACUAGAGCACUUGAUGCAAGCGGGAAUCCAAUAAAUAACUUGAAUGUAAUAAAAGUAAUUAAAGAACUCAGGAAUUAUGAAUUGAAGAACCUGGAGAACGAUGAAGAAUAAACCAGAUGCUGCAAAAGUAUAAUGUUGAGGAAGAUCCGACAGAUCCGGCUCCUCCUCCGCUCUCCUCUUCUCUCUCCCUAUUUUCUAGAUUACAACUAGAACUAACUAGAACUAGAACUAGAGGAACUAGAACUAGAACUAGAUGAACUAGAACUAGAUCUAGAUGAGCUAGAGGUAGAACUAGAAGAACUAGAGGGAUCCUCUCUACUUGGAUGAAGAAUUGAAACCCUAACUUUGAUUCUGUAGAAGAGGUAUGAUCUCCAGGGGUCAGGGGGUCUGGUUUUAUAGUCUCUUCAAGUGAAUCUGGGCCGUUGGAUCAAACCGACAUUGAUUGAACGGUUAUCCUUGAUCCUUUAGGUCGGUGGAGCAAUAUCCCGAAAGAGAGUCCUGAUUGGACUCUGGCUGAGGGCGGGCGCCCAGGAAAGGAGGGCGGGCGCCCUGUCCCUGAGUCCUCUCGACCUUCGCUUCGGUCCCGUGGCUUCUGGAGUCUUCUAGAUGAUAGAAAAUUGCACGGCAUGUUAAUAUCUCUAUGUAAACCCGAUGUGUGGGCCUUUCUUCCUUAUUUCCUGAUAACCCCCUGCAGAAAUAGACAAACACCAAAACUCGUAGAAUUCUGUCAGAUAAAACCCUAAGUCUAGGUGUUGGUUGCAUUUGGAUCCUUUUCCAUGAUUAGUUGAUGGUUAAAUGUGAGCAUUAAGGACCGUCAACAAGCUCCCCCAAGCUUAACCUUUGCUCGUCCCUGAGCAAAGAUGAACUCAAGAGUUUCUGCAGUGGUUUCAUAACUUAAAGAUACACAUGCGUUUAAACAAGAUCUCUGGUUAGAGUAAACUGUUAAGACUUAAAAGUUACUCAUUUACCUUUCACCAUGGGACUUGUAACCAUCACUUCUGUCUUAAGUAGUUAAAAGAUAGAACGGUCUAGUCAAGCACCAUGUCUCUUGUUCUUCGAUUAACUAUAGCUCUAGAGUUUUUGCAGAUUUUCAAAUAAAACUCAGAGAUUCCUUGUAUGACUCUCUCUAGUCUCUCUUUUGUGGUAUUUCUGGAUCCUUACCAAGGCAUUAAUGGUGUAUGCCUUCUCUCAAAGUAUGUGGUAUUUGUGGUAUAAGGCAUAGUGGCAUUGCCUUCUCUCUCACCCUACUCUAAUAAGGCUUUUGAUAUCUGGAGCUCAUAGGUGGGAGACAGCUAAUACAUACUUACAAGACAUUUAUUGCAUAGUCAAACCAUGGAUCCAGAAGAACAAGUCAAUAAGUCAAAUCAAGAUGUGCAUGUGUGGCGAAUGAAUGGUGUAUGGUGAUGAUGGUGAUAACAAUGGUGAAAGUCUAAUUCUACUUAUGCUCUUUUGAGGGGAUACAUACCUUUCUUGCUCUUUUGAAACUUUUUGAGGAGAAUGAGAUGCUCUAUAUUUUCUUUUUUUCUUUUCUCUCAGAUGGGUAUCUUGUACCCCUAAUUCUACUGUCGGACACUUGUCCAUUUUUACCUCUCGUCUCACUUUUUCUUUUCUUUUGAGGUUCCGGGCACUUGCCCCUUUUUAUUUCCUCGUAUUUUUUUUCUUCUUCUUUUUUUUUCUUCUUUUUUUAGAGCACUCAUCUCCUGAAAUAAUAUAGCAAGUGGUAGUAACCAAGAUAACUUGAGCAUUUAUUUCAUAGGGGAAAACAGAAAUGUUUUUGGCUAUUCUCUCCUGGAUUAGGAGUAGAAUAUUUUUGGGUGGUUCUGGGGAUGGAAAUGGGUGGAUAUAUGUGGAUGGUACUUCCAGAGUAGAAGUAGCAUGUGUGAGUGAACGUGCAAGUGAAUCUUGAUUUAACCACAUGACAAGCUCCUAAGGGUCUACACAGCUUGACCACACUCAAUGCUCAUAAGCAGUAAAAAGUAAAUGUGUGGCUCAAAGUCUAGCAAGCAUGUAUAUAUGGCUGUGGUAGGAAUUUAAACUCUCAUCAUACAGGAACUCAUCAUGUGAUAUUUUAAAGAUUUUCAAAGAUAAAUUUCUCCAGAAUUCUAGCAUCUCUAGGAACAGAUAAACAGCAGCUCAACCUUCCCAUAUCAUAUCCGUUAACUACUUAGACUUUAGAUCAAGUACUCUCCCCACAAGUUCAGGUUUAGAGCAAAUCUUAAUUAAUACCAGUCAUGCCUAAACUUGAGAGAGAGAUUUCAAUUUUGAGAACUAGUCAUGGCAGAGCAACUAUUCAUCAUUUCCAUGUGAGAGCUUAUCAUGAGGGUUCAUAGCAAACUUUAUUUAUUUAUUUAUUUAGAAAACUAAGCAAGCAUAAAAUCUUUAUUUCGGUUUUUAUGAUUGUGCAUCUUUUUUUAUUAUUUAAGUAAAGUAUAAACAUGAGUAGAGCACUUAGCUGGAUAAAUGGGGGUGCUCUCCCCCAAGCUGGAUUUUGACGUAAUUCCUUUUGAUGUAGCAGGUGGCGGAGGUGUACUUGAAUGUCGGCAGCACCCUGACAGUGAUUAGGAUGUCCUCUGUCUGCUAGUCUUCUUUGAUCCUUGAAUUCUGUGGAGCUCAAAUAGACAACAAAGCUUUGUGGAACUGGUUAAGUGUUAGCAUAAAUAUCUAGCCUUUAUCAUGUUGAGCCUCCUCAAUAAAUGUUACUCUCUUUAGUUGGAUCAUAAUUUUAUUUUUAUAAUUUUAUUUUUAUAGGACAACAAUAUAUUUAUUUUAUUUUGAUGCCACCACAGUGAAUGUACUUAUGGGUUUUAUGCCAUUAGCAUACUCACAUGGGGGCUUACUAUUUUUAACAUUUUUAUUUUCUUUUUAAGAUGAUAUAAACCUGAUUAACUAAGAAAACUAUUUUAAAAUAAUUGAAAGGAAAAAGAUAACUACCAAGUUUACCUCUUGGCAAGGCGUUCGGUGUUUUUAAGUCCUCCGAACGGGACUCUCUAUUUUCUCAGUUGUCCUGGGAUUCGCUGGAUGACAUAGUCGGUGGUUCCGGUGGAGCCUGCUCUUCAUGUAUAACUAUCUUUUUUCUCCACACCUGACUCGAUGCUACGGUCUCCUCAGGACAGUUCUGUUCAAGCUGUAUGUCUUCAGACCUUACGACUUCUCCUUCAUAGUCUGCCCAUCCGUCCUUGAUGAUUUGCCUCCUCUGUUUCCGGUUGCGUCGUCUUCUUCUUGUUCUGACCUGCUUAGAGUCUUCAACUAUAUAGUUAGGGUCAGUAAAAUAGCGGCGUACCUUCUCAGAGAGGAAAUGCAUAUGGACUUCUCCAGUUCCAAUGUAGAUGAUUGCUUUAACGGUGCUGAGGAACGGUCUUCCAAUGGUGAUGAGUGAAUCGAAUUCGUCUUCUCCUAUGACAAUAACCUUUCAGAAUGUCUGAUCUGCCAUCUGAAGCUAAAUGUAUAUCGGUUUUAGGGGCAUGGUUCUGAAUAGGAGCUGAUAGGUGACUGGCGGCCAUUAUGUUGACACCUGACUCGGUAUCGCAAAGCAUCUUCUGGAAGUUGUAUCCAUCAAUGGAGCACUGGAUGCUUGGCAUACUUGGGUCAUCCUUUUUGGUUAGGAACGGUGACUUAAGUUGACGAUCUUGACCUCCUUGAACUGCAGUGACCAUCUUAGCUGAUUCGGUCCACAUUUGCUUGUUCCUGUUCCUCUUGUUGGUCCUCUUCCUUGGUUCAUGUCGGGAAUGCUCUGAGAUUUGUGUAGUCUUAUUCUUGAAGGAAAACGUCUCCUUCCUCCCCUUGAUGUGGAAAUAGAUUUUAGCAGCACUAGUGUAGAUGACAGCUACCGAGGUGUUCAGGAAUGGCCUCCCUAGGAUGUUGGGUACUCUCUCAUCAGUACCAGUCUCUAUCACCUUGAAAUCUGCUGGAGCGUACAAGGUACCAACUCGGACACGGAGGUUCUUCAAUAUUCCCUUUGGGAAACCUAGUGUCUGAUCUGCAAGCUGCAAACACAUGGUUGUUUCUAGUAAAGGAUGUGUAAAGAAUUUUUCAUAGAGUACCCUGGGCAUAAUGUUGAUGCUGGAGCCAAAGUCGCAGAGUGCUUCUAGGAAGUCCACCAUGCCGAUGGAGAUCGGGAUGACGGGGCGUCCUGGAUUGUCUCUCUUGACCGGCAGAAGGUCAGUAAUUACUUCCACAACGGGGUUACUCCAAUAGUUACGUCCUCAAGCAUCUCAGGGCAGUGAUUGCCUGAGUGUCCAGUAUCUCCAGUGUGUUUGUGCUCGUAGAUCUAGGUUCUUCACUUGGUGGAGUCUAGGAGUUGUAAAACUCCUUCAUAUUUUGCUCGAAGUGUACCUGCUCAUAGAGACAAGGCAGAGAUCAAGUGCAUGGGCCCUGUUGGUGGAAAACACCAACAGAACCAAAAGUGUAUUUGCUCUUCUCUAUCCUUAAGCAUAGUGAGCAAGACACAGUUGAUGGAUAAUAAGAUCAUGAGUGUAGCAUUUAAAACAUUCGUCAGAUCAGAUCACUCAACCUAAUGGAAAGAUAAUCUAUAUCUAUACUUAUGUUGUUUUUUUACAUAUCUUCCAAAGAUUGAGUGUGCAACAUUUUAGCUCAUAUGAUUAGGAAUGUGGGAUCACAAAGGUGGAAGGACUAAACAUGUUGAAUCGACUGGGUUGGUUAAUCUAGAGUUGUAAAUCAUACAUGUUUGUCUCUUUUAUUCAUGUGAACGCCAAAACCAAGGAAAAGCUUAUAAAAGUGAUAGUCAAGUACCUUAAGAUGUUAGCUUACUUGAAGAGUGAUGGUACAGUAUCUCCUUGUGGAAGCUUUCCUUUCUUAGCAGUUAGGCAUCGUGUUUGUGGCACCCUCCAUGGAUCAUCUCUUGUGAGCUAUGCCUUCCUUGUGUAAAUUGUUAAACUUCAUGUGUCUCCUUUAUCUCCAAUGAGUUUGUAUAUCAGGACUUCCCAGGUCGAUAUAGAAAGUUUUCCUGCAGGGGUUAGUCCAACAAAAUAUCCAGUAUCUACUAUAGCAUACUAUCGGCUCAAAGAUCAACCUAGACACCAUGUCUAAAUUGAUUUAGGAGGGCAUUUUAACCUAAGCACCAUGCUUAAUUUAAAACCCCUUGGAAGUAAGAUCAUCAUUCCUAAACUAAGCACCAAGCUUAAUUAAGAGAUAAAUGAAACUACUCCAAACCUAGACAUAUACUAAAGCAAAUAAAGGUAGCAUGAGAGCAUUUAUAGAGUUCUACUCAAGUGGAGAUGAAGUAGUGUGAUUAGUAUUUAACAAAUUGAGCAUGUCUCAAAGGUAGAGACAACCAACAUAACAACAUGGCAAAGGAUGUUUUUUAUAUAAAGUACUCCCCCAAGCUUGAAUUUUGCAAAAUUCAAGUUUGGAUGAAUUUAAUUCAAUGUUGUAUGAUGAUUGGUUGGACAUACCUUGUGCUUGUCAUUCAUCCGAUCUUGUUGCUCCAAUCCUGGAAAGGUUAGUGACAAGAAUACCCGAAGGAAUAUUUUUACAGUUAUCCUUAUAUGCUCAACACACAAGGUAAUGUUGCAAAUAAUUAAAAGCUCAUGUUACAAUCUGAUCAGUGCUUGUUUUAGGACACUAAGCUUGUCCUUGGGAAACCAUCAAUUUAUGUCGGCGAAGUGGUUUCCCCUCCAACACCAACCUAUAUCAAGAUCAACUCAACGAGAUCUGCAAAAUUUAUUAUAGACAUAUGCAUCGACAACCGCCCUUUUAAAGUUUUUAAAAAUAGAAAGGAUGAGGGGGUUGGAGAUCUCGAAUGUGGUGAUAUUGGAAAAACCAAUGGAUUGUGAAGAUGUUGCAUAUGAGCAUGGAGUAAGUGAAGUGGCUAUGAAAUAAAUUCCAUGCUCAUUAAUGCUUAGAGUGAAAUCCAUGUGGUAUGGUGAAAGUGAUAAGGUGAGUGUGGUAAAAAGGGAAAAAAAGGAUACACGGACGACUUGGUUCGAAACUAGCACAGCUACCGUUCCCCGGCAACGGCGCCAGAAAGCUUGUUGGGUAUUUUAAACGCAAACAGAAAAAUCCGCAAGCGCACAGAUACCGAUGUAGCUUUCACCCGGGAGUAUUCCAGAGUAUCGAUUUUCCACAGAGAACGUGAGUGUACUAAUUAAGAUCCAAGAUCGCCCAAGGAUAACUAUAUAAUUAUUUUUGGUGGGAAGAGAGGAAGUUUCCUGAGAGUUCUCUAGUUGAUCUAAGAAUCAAGAAUUACUUCAAGAUUAUCUAUAUCGGGACAUCAGAGCACUAACCACGGAAAGAGAUGAGAAGGGGGCUAGGAAGGUCUGACUACGGUCCUACAAACACCGAUCCGAACGUGGUGGAAUACGUCGACCGUUAGGGCUGUCACUACCCUAAGGCUACCACAACAAUCUGCAGGAUUGGGUGCAAUUCCAGGUAAUUGCAAGACUAAACACCACGUCUAAUAUAUUAAUUACUACUCUAGCGUUAUAAAGACUAGAGCACUUGAUGCAAGCGGGAAUCCAAUAAAUAACUUGAAUGUAAUAAAAGUAAUUAAAGAACUCAGGAAUUAUGAAUUGAAGAACCUGGAGAACGAUGA